CUACGCUGGCGGCGGCUACCUAUGGAUUACGAACGGUAACAGGAAGCAGCUUGCUGCUUUGCUGACGAGUGGCGGACGGGUGAGUAAUGUCUGGGAAACUGCCUGAUGGAGGGGGAUAACUACUGGAAACGGUAGCUAAUACCGCAUAACGUCGCAAGACCAAAGAGGGGGACCUUCGGGCCUCUUGCCAUCGGAUGUGCCCAGAUGGGAUUAGCUAGUAGGUGGGGUAACGGCUCACCUAGGCGACGAUCCCUAGCUGGUCUGAGAGGAUGACCAGCCACACUGGAACUGAGACACGGUCCAGACUCCUACGGGAGGCAGCAGUGGGGAAUAUUGCACAAAGGGCGCAAGCCUGAUGCAGCCAUGCCGCGUGUAUGAAGAAGGCCUUCGGGUUUGUCAAGUACUUUCAAGCGGGGAGGAAGGCGAUAAGGUUAAUAACCUUGUCGAUUGACGUUACCCGAAGAAGAGGCAACGGCUAACUCCGUGACCAGCAGACCAGAGGUAAAACAGAGGGUGCAAGCGUUAAUCGGAAUUACUAGGGCGAUAAACGCACGCCGGCGGUCUGAUAAGUCGAUGUUAAAUCCCCGGGCUCAACAUGAAACUGCAUCAAAUGGCAG
rnacentral:rRNA from 1 species